GGUUGGUCUGAGUGCAGUGGUGUUUACAAUUAAUUGAUCACAACCGGUUACAGAUUCCUUUGUUCCUUCUCCACUCCCACUGCUCCACUUGAUCAGUCCUUU
rnacentral:Y_RNA from 1 species